rnacentral:rRNA from 1 species
UACGGAGGAUGCGAGCGUUAUCCGGAUUUAUUGGGUUUAAAGGGUGCGUAGGCGGGCUUUUAGGUCAGCGGUAAAAAUUCGGGGCUCAACCCCGUCCGGCCGUUGAAACUGGGGGUCUUGAGUGGGCGAGAAGAAGGCGGAAUGCGUGGUGUAGCGGUGAAAUGCAUAGAUAUCACGCAGAACCCCGAUUGCGAAGGCAGCCUUCCGGCGCCCUACUGACGCUGAGGCACGAAAGUGCGGGGAUCGAACAGG